rnacentral:rRNA from 1 species
AACGAACGCUGGCGGCAGGCUUAACACAUGCAAGUCGAACGGGCACCUUCGGGUGUCAGUGGCAGACGGGUGAGUAACGCGUGGGAACGUACCCUUCGGUUCGGAAUAACCCAGGGAAACUUGGGCUCACACCGGAUACGUCCGCAAGGAGAAAGAUUUAUCGCCGAAGGAUCGGCCCGCGUCGGAUUAGCUAGUUGGUGGGGUAAUGGCCCACCAAGGCGACGAUCCGUAGCUGGUCUGAGAGGAUGAUCAGCCACACUGGGACUGAGACACGGCCCAGACUCCUACGGGAGGCAGCAGUGGGGAAUAUUGGACAAUGGGCGAAAGCCUGAUCCAGCCAUGCCGCGUGAGUGAAGAAGGCCUUAGGGUUGUAAAGCUCUUUCAGCGGGGAAGAUAAUGACGGUACCCG